CUUCCUUGUAGGUCCAGAGUAAGACCUAAGCAAAAGCUAUCAGGAAAGCAGCCAUGGGUAAUCCUUCUUUAGUGUACUGCAAGCAGAACUUCUGGGAACCUUGCUGAAUAAGAAGAUGGAUUUGCCUGUAGUGUAGUUAAGUCAUAAUAAUUAUGUGGUCUGCAGAGCAUUCUUCAUUGGAUAGUAUCUCAGGUCAUUUUGGGGCCUGAGGCAGUCUCCUAUUGACCGACAUCCACAUCCCACAUCCUUUGCCUCAGAAUCACUGCCUUGGACUGGGCUAUGAUAAAUUCCUGGGAAGAAAUGUUUUACUUCUUACAAAUGGAAAAGAGAACACAUCUGCUGAAACUGAUGUGAGAUAAAUCUAAACCCUAUCUUUUUCUUUACAUUCAUGUAUGGAAGGUAGCCUGCUACUGUGGUAAAGUCACCUGCCAUAUAUGGAUCUUUUUGA